rnacentral:misc_RNA from 1 species
CCGCCCGCCCCGCGAAUUUUGGAGCCCCCACGCCAUCAGUCCACCACCACCACACAGGCACACACACACACACACUUUCCUCGCCCAACCCCAGCGCUUUCUCCUCCUGGCUUCCCCUAUUUAAGAGCGCCCCGUCGUCCCGAGACCUCCAUUCCCAAGCAAACAGCCAAACACACGCGAAAAGAAGGAGUUCGAGUACAGGUUACAGAGAGGCAGAGAGCAAAGAUGUGUGGUGGUGCGAUCCUCGCCGAGCUCAUCCCGACCACGCCGGCGCGCCGCGGCGGCGCGGCGUGGCCCGCCGGCAAGUGCAAGCGGCGGAAGGCGAACGACUUCGAGGCCGCGUUCCGGGAGUUCGACGAGGACUCCGAGGAGGAGGAGGAGGACGAGGGGGUGGUGGAGAGCAAGCCCGCCUUCGUCGUCCGCGCCUCGUCCGCGGCGACGCAGCCCAGGGCGCGCCAGGAGCAGCGGAGCCGGCGCCGGGCGCCCGACCAGCAGCAGUACAGGGGCGUCCGGCGCCGCCCGUGGGGCAAGUGGGCCGCCGAGAUCCGCGACCCCGUCAAGGGCGUCCGCGUCUGGCUCGGCACCUUCCCCUCCGCCGAGGCCGCCGCGCGCGCCUACGACCACGCCGCGCGCGGCAUCCGCGGGCCCAGGGCCAAGCUCAACUUCCCCUCCUCCUCCUCCUCCGCCGCCGGGGCCCCCGCCAGCCGCAAGCGCGCCCGCACCGCCGACGCCGACGCCGUCAUCGACCUCGAGGAACAAGAGCAGCGCCCGGCCGCGGCGGCCCUGAAGCACGAGGCCGCCGAGUGCUCCGGAUCCGACGCGCUCCCGGACUUCUCGUGGCAGGGCGUGUCGGCGGCCUACGACGAGCCCCCCGCGCCGCGCCCGGCCUUCGACUUCGAGGCGCGGCCGGAGAGCGCCGCGGACGAGGCGUCGCCCCGGGCCUCCGACUCCGAGUCGGACGCGCUGUUCGACUCGCUCCUCUUCGGCGACCAGUUCGCCUUCUUCGACGCCGGCGCGUACGAGUCGCUGGACAGCCUGUUCAGCGCCGACGCCGUGCAGAGCAACGCCGCCGCCGCGGCGGACCAGGACAUGCCGCUGUGGAGCUUCGACGACGGCUGCCUCGUCGAGGACAACCUCUCGUUUUAAGCUUCGGCGACUGUUGUUGUGUCUUGAGUUUUGUAAAUUACGACCUGUUUUUUUUUUGGAGUUUCUGCUCAUGUAUAUCUGUAUCGAUGGUGAGCUGAAUGAAAUCAUCCUUCUCAGGAAGUAAAACAAAGGAACAUCCCUCCAUUCUAAAAGUCAUGAACACACUAAUUUCAUAAUUGAUCGACAGCCUAACCCGACUAGAAGAUGCAUCUU